UACGUAGGGUGCGAGCGUUAAUCGGAAUUACUGGGCGUAAAGCGUGCGCAGGCGGUGAUGUAAGACCGAUGUGAAAUCCCCGGGCUUAACCUGGGAACUGCAUUGGUGACUGCAUUGCUGGAGUAUGGCAGAGGGGGAUGGAAUUCCGCGUGUAGCAGUGAAAUGCGUAGAUAUGCGGAGGAACACCGAUGGCGAAGGCAAUCCCCUGGGCCUGCACUGACGCUCAUGCACGAAAGCGUGGGGAGCAAACAGG
rnacentral:rRNA from 1 species